GUCCACGCCGUAAACGAUGGGAACUAGGUGGUGGGGGUGUCGACUCCCUCCGUGCCGAAGCUAACGCAUUAAGUUCCCCGCCUGGGGAGUACGGCCGCAAGGCUAAAACUCAAAGGAAUUGACGGGGGCCCGCACAAGCAGCGGAGCAUGUGGUUCAAUUCGACGCAACGCGAAGAACCUUACCUAGGCUUGACAUGCACUGGAAUUGCCUAGAAAUAUGCAAGCCCUUCGGGGCUAGUGCACAGGUGGUGCAUGGCUGUCGU
rnacentral:rRNA from 1 species